rnacentral:rRNA from 1 species
UAAUACGAGAGGCCCAAACGUUAUUCGGAAUCACUGGGCUUAAAGAGUUCGUAGGCGGCGCGGAAAGUGGGGUGUGAAAGCCCUCGGCUCAACCGAGGAAUUGCGCUCCAAACUGCCGUGCUUGAGGAGGCUAGAGGUAAGCAGAACUGAUGGUGGAGCGGUGAAAUGCGUUGAUAUCAUCAGGAAUACCGGAGGCGAAGGCGGCUUACUGGGGCCUUUCUGACGCUGAGGAACGAAAGCUAGGGGAGCAAACGGGAUUAGAUACCCCGGUAGUCCUAGCCGUAAACGGUGAGCACUGGACCGGAGGGCUGCACAGCUUUUCGGUCGUAGCGAAAGUGUUAAGUGCUCCGCCUGGGGAGUAUGGUCGCAAGGCUG